rnacentral:rRNA from 1 species
CGUAGGUGGCGAGCGUUGUCCGGAAUUACUGGGUGUAAAGGGCGUGUAGGCGGGAAUGUAAGUCAGAUGUGAAAUUCCAGGGCUCAACCCUGGCGCUGCAUCUGAAACUAUGUUUCUUGAGUGCUGGAGAGGAAAGCGGAAUUCCUAGUGUAGCGGUGAAAUGCGUAGAUAUUAGGAGGAACACCAGUGGCGAAGGCGGCUUUCUGGACAGUAACUGACGCUGAGGCGCGAAAGCGUGGGGAGCAAACAGGAUUAGAUACCCUGGUAGUCCACGCUGUAAACGAUGGAUACUAGGUGUAGGAGGUAUCGACCCCUUCUGUGCCGGAGUUAACACAAUAAGUAUCCCACCUGGGGAGUACGGCCGCAAGGUUG